UACAGAGGCCCCGAGCGUUAAUCGGAAUCACUGGGCUUAAAGGGUGCGUAGGCGGAUCCGCAAGUGUCUUGUGAAAGCCCCCGGCUCAACCGGGGAACUGCGGGGCAUACUGCGGGUCUUGAGGCAGGUAGGGGUCGCUGGAACUCUAGGUGGAGCGGUGAAAUGCGUAGAUAUCUAGAGGAACGCCGAUGGUGAAGACGAGCGACUGGACCUGACCUGACGCUGAGGCACGAAAGCGUGGGGAGCAAACAGG
rnacentral:rRNA from 1 species